CUUAAAUCACACCUCUCUGAUGCAAUAUAUGCACUGUAUAUAGCGUCUUUACCUGAAUCGUUUUAUCCUCAAACAUCAUAACCCUUAAAUCACAUCUCUCUCUAUACAUAUAUAUAUAUGUAUAUAUAGGCUCCUGUUUUACAGAUAAUGCAAGGUAGUCACUCAGCAGACGUCUCUUCUAUGGGACACCUCGCAAACGCCGUCUUCAUUUCGUGCAGUUAAGGUAAAGGUUAAUAUAGGAAUCCCUGGCAGUGAUUACAAAAAGCAGUCAGUCGUGGGUGAGUUUUUUCAAAACAAAACUCAAAGUUUUCUUUAGGUCAUUGGCAAGGGCAAGAUACUGCAAAUUCCCUUAACAUCCACGAUUUAGUUUUGAUCUCAUCCGAUCCGAUCGGAUUAUCCUUUUUUCAUGUAUGGGAGCAGCGUACAAGACAGCAAAGACCGGGGUUGGUAUGGCAUCGAUGGGUGUGACGAGACCAGAGCUUGUAAUGAAGUCAAUUGUUCUGGUGGUUAUGGUUGGUGUCUUAGGUAUUUACGGUUUUGAUCAUAGCUGUGAUCAUCAGUAUUGGAAUCAACCCAAAGGCAAGUCUUACUAUCUAUUCGAUGGCUAUGACCAUCUCUCUUCCGGUCUCGCUUGUGGUCUCGUCGGUCUCUCCACCGGUAUGGCUAUCGGAAUCAUCGGCGAAGCCGGUGUCAGAUUUAAUAUUUUUUGGAGACUUUGGAAGUGUAUCAAUGCAACCAUUUUAAAGUACAAGUGUAAAAUGUAAAAGAAUAUUUGCAACUGAUCAAGUGAACCAUUGAAUUCUUUAAUAGCUACUGUAGCCUUUGAUGAUCAAUUUUUGCAACAGUUGGUAAUUAACCAUUGCAAUAGCAUUGUAAUUGUGUUAUUCGUAAUUUCCAAACCGCUUUUUAGUUAUUGCUGAACCACAACUUUAUUGUAAUAACCUUUUUUGUCCA